CCUACGGGUGGCAGCAGUGGGGAAUAUUGCACAAUGGGGGAAACCCUGAUGCAGCGACGCCGCGUGAGUGAAUCAGCGUUUCGGCUCUUAAAGCUCUGUCAGCGGGGAAGAAAAACGGUUCACGAGAGCCUCUUACGGUACCCGACCUAGAAACCCCUGCUAUCUACGUGCCAGCAGCCGCGGGAAUACGUAGGGGGCACGCGUUAUCCGGAUACACGGGGUGUAAAGGGAGCGUAGACGGCGAGACAAGUCUGGAGUGAAAGGCCGGGGCCCAACCCCGGGACUGAUCGGGAAACUGCAUGGCUGGAGUACAGGAGAGGUAAGUGGAAUGCCUAGUGUAGCGGUGAAAUGCGUAGAUAUUAGGAGGAACACCAGUGGCGAAGGCGGCUUACUGGACUGUAACUGACGUUGAGGCUCGAAAGCGUGGGGAGCAAACAGGAUUAGAUACCCUGGUAGUC
rnacentral:rRNA from 1 species